UACGUAGGGUGCAAGCGUUGUCCGGAAUUAUUGGGCGUAAAGAGCUCGUAGGCGGUCUGUCGCGUCGGAUGUGAAAAUCCAGGGCUCAACCCUGGACCUGCAUUCGAUACGGGCAGACUAGAGUUCGGUAGGGGAGACUGGAAUUCCUGGUGUAGCGGUGAAAUGCGCAGAUAUCAGGAGGAACACCGGUGGCGAAGGCAGCCCCCUGGGCUAACACUGGCGCUCAGGCACGAAAGCGUGGGGAGCAAACAGG
rnacentral:rRNA from 1 species